rnacentral:rRNA from 1 species
GACGAACGCUGGCGGCGUGCCUAAUACAUGCAAGUAGAACGCACAGUUUAUACCGUAGCUUGCUACACCAUAGACUGUGAGUUGCGAACGGGUGAGUAACGCGUAGGUAACCUGCCUGGUAGCGGGGGAUAACUAUUGGAAACGAUAGCUAAUACCGCAUAAUAUUAAUUAUUGCAUGAUAAUUAAUUGAAAGGUGCAAUUGCACCACUACCAGAUGGACCUGCGUUGUAUUAGCUAGUAGGUGAGGUAACGGCUCACCUAGGCGACGAUACAUAGCCGACCUGAGAGGGUGAUCGGCCACACUGGGACUGAGACACGGCCCAGACUCCUACGGGAGGCAGCAGUAGGGAAUCUUCGGCAAUGGACGAAAGUCUGACCGAGCAACGCCGCGUGAGUGAAGAAGGUGUUCGGAUCGUAAAGCUCUGUUGUAAGAGAAGAACGGGUGUGAGAGUGGAAAGUUCACACUGGGACGGUAUCUUACCAGAAAGGGACGGCGAACUACGG